GACCGAGUUGGAGAUACAGUUGCAGGUUGCGAUAGUGAAGUACAUAAUUCUGUUUGUUUUCUAAAGUGGUGCGGACUUGGAGAGAGCGGUGUUCUUGCAGUCGAAGAUGGUGUAGAUAGCUGACUGUAGCUGUGCUCGUUCUGAAGUUGUGAAGUGCUGAGAAGUCCUGUUGUAUGAUCUACAUUGCUUGUUGAAGAGGAGCUUUGGGUGUCGCUGCUUGGAGGUCGAAAGACAAUCAACGUCUGAGAGGGAAAUAUGUUGGUGCGCAAUUAAUACAACUUGUUUGAAUGUGGGCUUACAUCAACAACAGCAAGACUUUGCGAUCGACACUCUACUCUGUCAAAUGGAUAUUUAGCUGUGCUGUUUUUCAACAACUCUGCAUGGGCUACAAUAAGAGCUGGAUUGACUCUUACCUUCUUUGCUAUUGGCUUUUCGCUUGAUUUACAAUUUGCUGUGUGGGGGAAGUCACGUUCAAUGUCAAGUCACUGCUCUCUGCGGAAGCCUUAUGAGGGUCUGUAUCCAUGAUACAAUCGUGAUCUUUUUGAGAUGGGAGAUCCAUCUGGCAACCAUAGCAAAGUUGUCUAGUCACCAUACCCAUAACCUCACACAGUGCCUUCGCAUAUACAAAGUCAAAGUACGAAUUCAUUAGCGCGACACUUGUAGAAACUGGAGUAUAAAUCUCUGUAGUGUCCGUAACAUUCG